rnacentral:lncRNA from 1 species
CGCGCACCGCGACCGGCAUGGCGGCCGCCUCGGCGCUGCCGGCCCGGCCCGGCGUACGGGGAGCGGCGCGGUUACCCUCGUGAGACCGGCUCGGGACGGGACGGGCCCGGCCGGCGGGCCGCCUCGGUACUCGCAGUUGGGCCACCUUCCAUGCGAUGGAGCAACGUAGCUAAGCUGUAGGUUGCCUUAUGCUUGCAACACUGCAACCCCGAGGAAGUCUGCAUCUGCAGAGAUCUGCCUUCAUGCCUGGACUGAUAAGCGACGCUGGGGAAGCGUCUUGGCCAGUGGUUUCUCUUUCCAGAUGCUGCUGCAGUAUCCCGCCUCCUCAUCGCAUCGCCCUCUGGAAGACAGAAGUGACGAUCAGCAGCGUGGUGUUGUCCUGCAGGCAGCUGAAGAACCACUUUGACAGCAAGCAGGAGAACAACUAUGCAGUGUAAUCACAGCCUGUCUGUGCUCUUUCUAACAGUGUACAUGAGCACCCUAUUCCCAGCGAGGGGAUGCUGUAACCUCCCCCUGCUGACCUGUAUUCUUCUCCGUUACUGUAACCAAGCUGUUUCUUUCCCACAGCCACGCGUUCCUGCAGAUAUACCAAGGGUUCCCAUGCAGAUAGGUUUACAAAUUCAGGAAGGGCUUGGACAGAGCAAAAGGAGAAUGAAGUAAUUCCCAAAUAUUUGCACUGUGGCUGAUGAAAUUAGCAGGAGAGCUGAGUGGGUGUAUAGGGGUCUGCUGGGGGACGGAUGGAAGGAAACCUGGGGACAAACUGUCUCCUGUUCGACGUGCUCUGAGUGCUGUGUGAUAAAGGUGAAUCACCCAGCUUAGCUGCAGGUGAGCCAGCAGGACAGUGGCUGGGGCCGGGUCCCACUGCAGCCUGUGUGGGGGCUGUGUGCUGGGUCCGGUGGGCUUUGAAUCCCACCACAAAGACAGUGGCUGUCGACAAGGUCACGAACGCAGAGCUUCGCCUUCUGUUGAUUAUGUGGUUGUCAGUGGAAGAAUUACUGUGUAUCUAUGGGAAAUGUUAAAAAACAACAACGCCUUUUUUUCUUGAAUAAAUCUGUGAAACGAACCAACCUUUGUUUCUGUUCUGUUUCUUUGGGUUUCAUUCCCUUUGCGCUUAGCGACCCAUCGCUGUCCAACCCCCCCCC